rnacentral:rRNA from 1 species
UACGUAGGGGGCAAGCGUUGUCCGGAAUCAUUGGGCGUAGAGCGCGUGUAGGCGGCCCGGUAAGUCCGCUGUGAAAGUCGGGGGCUCAACCCUCGAAUGCCGGUGGAUACUGUCGGGCUAGAGUGCGGGAGAGGCGAGUGGAAUUCCUGGUGUAGCGGUGAAAUGCGCAGAUAUCAGGAGGAACACCAAUUGCGAAGGCAGCUCGCUGGAACGUAACUGACGCUGAGACGCGAAAGCGUGGGGAGCAAACAGG